rnacentral:rRNA from 1 species
GCUUGUCUCAAAGAUUAAGCCAUGCAUGUCUAAGUAUAAACUAUUUUAUACUGUGAAACUGCGAAUGGCUCAUUAAAUCAGUUAUAGUUUAUUUGAUGGUACCUUACUACUCGGAUAACCGUAGUAAUUCUAGAGCUAAUACAUGCGUCAAAACCCGACUCCUGGGAGGGUUGUAUUUAUUAGAUGGAAACCAAUGCGGGGCAACCCGGUAUAUGGUGAUUCAUAAUAACUUUCGGAUCGUUUACGAUGCAUCAUUCAAGUUUCUGCCCUAUCAGCUUUGGAUGGUAGGGUAUUGGCCUACCAUGGCUUUAACGGGUAACGGAGAAUUAGGGUUCGAUUCCGGAGAGGGAGCCUGAGAAAUGGCUACCACAUCCAAGGAAGGCAGCAGG